AUGUUGAGUGGAUCGCGGAGGUCGCAGUUGGUUAUUCAAUGGGGGCUUCACGUUGAGGACCGCGGGGCGAGGAAAGUGUUAGUCGAUUUCACGGCCGGAGGAAGAGCGACAAUUUCCAGCCUGGGUUGUAGUCGCACAUGGGAUUUCGAUCUGCAGACGAAAGAGUCGUACACCGUGGUUGAUGUCGGAAGGGGCUUGGUUCUGUUGAUUAAGAUGCAGAAUAAUUCAUUGUAUAAUCGUUUGGUGUUAUGGUUUGGCUAG